CAGCAGCCGCGGUAAUACGAAGGGGGCUAGCGUUGUUCGGAUUUACUGGGCGUAAAGGGCGCGUAGGCGGACUGAUAAGUCAGGGGUGAAAUCCCAAGGCUCAACCUUGGAACUGCCUUUGAUACUGUUUGUCUUGAGUUCGAGAGAGGUAAGUGGAACUGCGAGUGUAGAGGUGAAAUUCGUAGAUAUUCGCAAGAACACCAGUGGCGAAGGCGGCUUACUGGCUCGAAACUGACGCUGAGGCGCGAAAGCGUGGGGAGCAAACAGGAUUAGAUACCCCCGUAGUCCCUGUCUCUUAUAA
rnacentral:rRNA from 1 species